rnacentral:rRNA from 1 species
UGGGGCGUGCUAUACAUGCAAGUCGAGCGGACAGAUGGGAGCUUGCUCCCUGAUGUUAGCGGCGGACGGGUGAGUAACACGUGGGUAACCUGCCUGUAAGACUGGGAUAACUCCGGGAAACCGGGGCUAAUACCGGAUGCUUGUUUGAACCGCAUGGUUCAAACAUAAAAGGUGGCUUCGGCUACCACUUACAGAUGGACCCGCGGCGCAUUAGCUAGUUGGUGAGGUAAUGGCUCACCAAGGCAACGAUGCGUAGCCGACCUGAGAGGGUGAUCGGCCACACUGGGACUGAGACACGGCCCAGACUCCUACGGGAGGCAGCAGUAGGGAAUCUUCCGCAAUGGACGAAAGUCUGACGGAGCAACGCCGCGUGAGUGAUGAAGGUUUUCGGAUCGUAAAGCUCUGUUGUUAGGGAAGAACAAGUGCCGUUCAAAUAGGGCGGCACCUUGACGGUACCUAACCAGAAAGCCACGGCUAACUACGUGCCAGCAGCCGCGGUAAUACGUAGGUGGCAAGCGUUGUCCGGAAUUAUUGGGCGUAAAGGGCUCGCAGGCGGUUUCUUAAGUCUGAUGUGAAAGCCCCCGGCUCAACCGGGGAGGGUCAUUGGAAACUGGGGAACUUGAGUGCAGAAGAGGAGAGUGGAAUUCCACGUGUAGCGGUGAAAUGCGUAGAGAUGUGGAGGAACACCAGUGGCGAAGGCGACUCUCUGGUCUGUAACUGACGCUGAGGAGCGAAAGCGUGGGGAGCGAACAGGAUUAGAUACCCUGGUAGUCCACGCCGUAAACGAUGAGUGCUAAGUGUUAGGGGGUUUCCGCCCCUUAGUGCUGCAGCUAACGCAUUAAGCACUCCGCCUGGGGAGUACGGUCGCAAGACUGAAACUCAAAGGAAUUGACGGGGGCCCGCACAAGCGGUGGAGCAUGUGGUUUAAUUCGAAGCAACGCGAAGAACCUUACCAGGUCUUGACAUCCUCUGACACCCCUAGAGAUAGGGCUUCCCCUUCGGGGGCAGAGUGACAGGUGGUGCAUGGUUGUCGUCAGCUCGUGUCGUGAGAUGUUGGGUUAAGUCCCGCAACGAGCGCAACCCUUGAUCUUAGUUGCCAGCAUUCAGUUGGGCACUCUAAGGUGACUGCCGGUGACAAACCGGAGGAAGGUGGGGAUGACGUCAAAUCAUCAUGCCCCUUAUGACCUGGGCUACACACGUGCUACAAUGGACAGAACAAAGGGCAGCGAGACCGCGAGGUUAAGCCAAUCCCACAAAUCUGUUCUCAGUUCGGAUCGCAGUCUGCAACUCGACUGCGUGAAGCUGGAAUCGCUAGUAAUCGCGGAUCAGCAUGCC